GUAUUUUGUAGUGUUCGUUUCUCCUUGAUUAUUUUCCAUAAAUUUUGUUGUUGCAAAUGUGACAGUGGCUGGCCGUUCUCAUCACGAGCAGUAGAUUGUGUGAAGCACGACUGGCAAGCUAUUGCCUCUGCAGGCACUUCCUCGCCUAGAGACUUCGAGUACCAGGUAUACAAAUAGUCAAAGUUGAAGCAACAAGAAAAUUUACAGACAAUUUUAAUAAACAUUCCUUUAAUCAGCUCAAAUGUACAAUUCGGCGAAAGAUGGCAACAUUUUCGUGCAAGAAUUUUCUUGUGGGAAUUCCAAAAGCGCAACUGCGGUCAAAAUUCCAAUCCAAGUAAACUACAGCCUAAUUUUCGCCUCGAGAAAAGAACACUCAAAAAUUUUCCAAUUUGCAGCACAGCAUAAUUAAACUCAUUCACGAAACAGCAGAAAAAAUAGUCUUAGAAUUGGAGAGAUUAUCGAAAAGCAAAGAAAGACGAGGAAAAAACGCAAUGGCUGGAAGGCGAUUUAUUAGAAAUAACAUAUACUCGGGCAACAAAGCUAUCAAAAUGCACAUCCCACCGGUAAGUCUCCAAAUAAAAUAUGAGGCAGAUUGCUAAUAACACCGAUUGAAAUUCAGACAACGGCAGCCUAGACCAUCUUGAGCCAAUCGAUGGAAGCUCCAUGCGGAUCGGGACAGCCUAGUGCGCCAGGAGGAGAGCAACACUGGCACGUUGGAUCGGCUUGCAUCACAAUGACUCGAUCGAGUGGUCAAAGGGUUGCCUUACGUGCUUCACACGAGCUACUGCACGUGAAGAGAACGGCCAGCCACUGUCACAUUUGCAACAAUAAAAUUCAUUACAAAUAACCACAGAAGGUGCAACAACAAUAAACCAAAAAUGCUAAAUUCGGAAGAUAAAAAUACACCCCCAAAAAAAUUAACUUCAUGG
rnacentral:lncRNA from 1 species